AGCAGCCGCGGUAAUUCCAGCUCCAAUAGCGUAUAUUAAAGUUGUUGCAGUUAAAAAGCUCGUAGUUGAAUUUCGGGAUUGACACAUCGGUCGUGCCUUAAGGGGUAUGAACUGGUGUAGUCAAUUUCUCACCUUCUGGAGAACCGCAAUGCCCUUAAUUGGGUGUCGCGGGGAACCAGGACCUUUACUUUGAAAAAAUUAGAGUGUUUAAAGCAGGCAUUUUGCUUGAAUACAUUAGCAUGGAAUAAUAAAAUAGGACGGCAUGAUUCUAUUUUGUUGGUUUCUAGGAUCACCGUAAUGAUUAAUAGGGAUAGUUGGGGGCAUUAGUAUUCAAUUGUCAGAGGUGAAAUUCUUGGAUUUAUUGAAGACUAACUACUGCGAAAGCAUUUGCCAAGGAUGUUUUCAUUAAUCAAGAACGAAAGUUAGGGGAUCGAAGACGAUCAGAUACCG
rnacentral:rRNA from 1 species